GCUCUGGUGGUCUAGUGGUUAAGACUCUGCGCUUCCAAAGCAGGGGGACCCAGGUUUGAUCCCUGGUCAGGGAA
rnacentral:tRNA from 1 species